rnacentral:rRNA from 1 species
GACGAACGCUGGCGGCGUGCCUAAUACAUGCAAGUCGAGCGAAGCGGCGGAUGGGUGAGUAACUCGUGGGUAACCUGCACUUAAGUCUGGGAUACCAUUUGGAAACAGAUGCUAAUACCGGAUACUAAACGAUGGACGUGGGCUGCAUUAGCUAGUUGGUACGGUAACGGCUUACAAAGGCGAUGAUGCAUAGCCGAGUUGAGAGACUGAUCGGCCACAUUGUGACGGAGACACGGCCCAAAUUCCUACGGGAGGCAGCAGUAGGGAAUCUUCCACAAUGGACGAAAGUCUGAUGGAGCAAUGCCGCGUGAGUGAAGAAGGUUUUUGGAUCGUAAAGCUCUGUUGUUGGUGAAGCGGUAAUCAACCAGAAAGUCACGGCUAACUACGUGCCAGCCGCCGCGGUAAUAC